UCCUUCAAUUCUUUUAGGUUUUUCCAACUACCCAUUCAUUUGUACAUUUUUUUCUCUCUCUUUUUUCAACCAUACAUUCUCUCUCUUUUUUCUCUUUGCGCUUCAUCUCUUCUUCUUUCUUCCAACUCUCUCUCUUUUUGUCUUUCUACUUCAUCUCUCUCUUUAUUCACAGAUCAUAUAACAGAUCCGUUUUUAGUCACAAAUAUUUGUUUCUUUUAUAAUCAGUAUAAUUUUUUUUUUCGUAUUUUAACAUUCUUUCAACAUAUUUCCCCUUUUGUUAUUCUUGGAUGUACACAAAUAUAG